UUGCAGCUAAUCUGCGGACAGCUGUCCGCGAGUUCAAGAUGCUCAUCCUGAAGACGAAGGAGGAAAACUGGCGACGCUUCGUUGGAGACCACAGAGACGAUCCGUGGGGGCACGUCUACUGGAUAUGCCGGGGACGAAAGCGGUCUACCGAUUUGAGGUGCCGGGCUGGUCGUAACAUGGCACGACUGCGCGAGUCUCCUCCUUCACAGCAUUUUUCCAGUUGCGGAGUCGAGUGAAGACAUCCUCAUUCCGGACGAAGCUGCUCCAGCGCUCGAAGCUUUCGAGGUUGAAGUAUGCGUUGCUCCUUUGAAGAGCAGGCGCUCUCCCGGGAUUGACGGCAUUACAGGUGGGGUCUGCAAGGCGGUAUGGCGUGCCAUCCUCGAGCACCUGACAACGUUGUAUUCCCGCUGCCUGACAGAAGGAUACUUUCCCCUUGAGUGGAAGUGCCCGCGUGUAGUUGCGCUACUCAAGGGCCCCUACAAGGAUAGAAGCGAUCCAGCUUCCUUUCGGGGCAUCUGCCUGUUGGCAGUGUUUGGCAAAGUGCUUGAGGGGAUCAUGGUGGAUCGAAUGAAGGAGGUGCUUCCGGAUGGAAAUAGAUGGCAAUUUGGCUUUCGACCUGGACGCUGUGUCGAAGACGCCUGGAAGCACGUGAUGACCAGCAUUGCCGCCAGCCAGGCGGUAUGCGUACUUGGUCUCUUCGUGGACUUUAAAGGCGGCUUUGACAACAUUGAGUGGAGCGCCGCGAUGCGCCGCUUGAUCGAUGCGGGAUGCAAGGAAGCUAGCUUGUGGAGAAGCUUCUUCUGUGGCAGGAAAGCCAGGAUGACCAGCAAAUGUGGCGCAGUGGAGGUGGAGGUCACGCGAGGGUGUCCCCAGGGAUCCAUCAGUGGGCCGUUCAUCUGGAACACCAAGAUGGAUGUCCUGCUCCAUCCGUCGUCCCAGAGAAGUUUGAGUGCAACGCCCGCAUGUCAAUGCGGUGCGGAGCAUGAAGACUGGCAGCACAUGCUAGUUGCUUGCCCACUCUAUGCAGAUCUGCGAGACCUCUACGGACUUGGUGUAAGGAGAGAAGGUACCCGUUGGGACUUUUCCCGGGUCCUGGAGACAACAGAGCGGCUCCUACUCCGGGAGAUGUUUGCGCGGGCGGUGUUUGCUAGACGGCGUGAGUGAAGUGCAACCACACAGGGCCGACCAGUGCCGGGCUGACGUUAGUCAAAGCUGGGAGUGGCAUGGACCGUGUCACGAAGCCGAACAGAGCUUAAUCUGGUAGACAAACCCCAAUUUGGGGUAAGUCGAACAUUUGAUGACCCAUUCCGUGUUUGUCGUCAACAAAACUGGGAAGUGGCAAUUGCUACGAACUGCCGACCAAAGCUGUAAUUUGGUACCACGGGUAACCAGGAGCCCACGGAACUCGUUCCGUCCUGGUUAAUUGGUGCGGCCCUUCGGGGAGUAUCGUGGUGGCUGUGGUUCGAUACCCAAUUAUGAGGAGAGUUUUCACUCGGCGUGGAGUUGCGUGUCAACCGGGUGCUGUACCCAAAGACUAGCGGAGGUAUAGAUAGAUCUCACCUCCCACCAACGGGGAAUGUCAUGUUCGACAAGCAUGCAUUCAAUUUGGUACCGACGGGGCACUGCACAUGUAGUGUUUUGGAGGGGCGCUAGUCCGACGCUUUGUUUCGGCUCGCUGUAUUUCGAAAACCGUUGUAGUAAAUCCCUACGGGGUACACGUGGCGUGUUAAACAAAUAUGUUUUGUUUAGUCCCUAUCUACGAUCUAGCGAAACCACAGCCAAAGGAAUGGGCUUGAAAUAAUUAGCGGGGAAAGAAGACCAUUUUGAGCUUGACUCUAAUCUGGCAGUGUAAGGAGACAUAAGAGGUGUAGAAUAAGUGGGAUAAGGAGAUAUUAGACUUCGGUUUGGUAUCGACAAUGAAAUACCACUACUCUUAUUGUUUCCUUACUUACUUGAUUAAAUGGAACGUGUAUCAUUUCCUACCCAUUAUACGGAUAUAAUUAUUAUGUCUUAUGGUAUUGGGUUUUGAUGCAAGCUUCUUGAUCAAAGAAUCACGAGUUUGUUAUAUAAUCGCAAACAAAUUCUUUAAUGAGAGAAUGCAUUUAUGUAUUAUUGAUUUAAAAAUUUGGUAUAACUCCAAUUACUCAGGUAUGAUCCAAUUCAAGGACAUUGCCAGGUAGGGAGUUUGACUGGGGCGGUACAUCUCUCAAAUAAUAACGGAGGUGUCCCAAGGCCAGCUCAGUGCGGACAGAAACCACACAUAGAGCAAAAGGGCAAAUGCUGACUUGAUCUCGGUGUUCAGUACACACAGGGACAGCAAAAGCUCGGCCUAUCUAUCCUUUUGGUUUAAAGAGUUUUUACCAAGAGGUGUCAGAAAAGUUACCAUAGGGAUAACUGGCUUGUGGCGGCCAAGCGUUCAUAGCGACGUCGCUUUUUGAUCCUUCGAUGUCGGCUCUUCCUAUCAUUGUGAAGCAAAAUUCACCAAGCGUUGGAUUGUUCACCCAUGCAAGGGAACGUGAGCUGGGUUUAGACCGUCGUGAGACAGGUUAGUUUUACCCUACUAAUGACAAAACGUUGUUGCGACAGCAUUCCUGCGUAGUACGAGAGGAACCGCAGGUACGGACCAAUGGCACAAUACUUGUUCGAGCGAACAGUGGUAUGACGCUACGUCCGUUGGAUUAUGCCUGAACGCCUCUAAUGUCGUAUCCGUGCUGGACUGCUAUGAUAAAUAAGGGGCAAUUUGCAUUGGAUGGCUUCUAAACCAUUAAAAGUUUUUAAUUUGUUUUAUUAACGACAAUGGAUGUGAUGCCAAUGUUAUUUAUAACAUAGUAAAUUGGGAGGAUCUUCGAUCACCUGAUGCCGCGCUAGUUAUAUUUUAAAACAUUAUUU
rnacentral:rRNA from 1 species